AGCUCCAGUAGCGUAUAUUAAAGUUGUUGCAUUUAAAAAGCUCGUAGUUGGUGUUUCGCUUGGUCUCAUCGAUGCUAGUCAUUGUAGAGCCCUGGUUGAUACUCGGUGGUAACGCCGUUUGCACUGUGAGAAAAUUAGAGUGAUCCAAACAGUCUUGGACUGAAUGCUUCAGCAUGGUAUGGGUUUUCGACGUCGCUUCUCACUGUACCUUUUGGUGCGGGGAGUUGUGAAGUAAAGGUUAAUAGAGACAGACGAUGGAAUCCGUAUUGGGUUGCUAGAGGUGAAAUUCUUGGACCAACGCAAGACGACCUGAAGCGAAAGCUCUUUCCACGGAUGUUCUUA
rnacentral:rRNA from 1 species